rnacentral:rRNA from 1 species
UACGGAGGGUGCAAGCGUUAUCGGAAUUACUGGGCGUAAAGCGUGCGUAGGCGGUUCGUUAAGUCUGUUGUGAAAGCCCCGGGCUCAACCUGGGAAUGGCAAUGGAUACUGGCGAGCUAGAGUGUGUCAGAGGAUGGUGGAAUUCCCGGUGUAGCGGUGAAAUGCGUAGAGAUCGGGAGGAACAUCAGUGGCGAAGGCGGCCAUCUGGGACAACACUGACGCUGAGGCACGGAAAGCGUGGGGAGCAAACAGG